GUACGUCUACGAGAGUUAGUAGUACUGUCGUCAGGACGAACACUGGCGGCGUGCUUAACACAUGCAAGUCGAACGGGUGUAGCAAUACACUAGUGGCGGACGGGUGAGUAACGCGUGAGCAACCUACCCUAUACAACGGGAUAACACAGAGAAAUCUGUGCUAAUACGGUAUAAGACCACAAGGAAGGCAUCUUCCGGUGGUAAAAGAUUUUUAUCGGUAUAGGAGGGGCUCGCGUCUCAUUAGAUAGUUGGUGAGGGUAACGGCCCACCAAGUCAACGAUGGGUAGCCGACCUGAGAGGGUGAACGGCCACACUGGAACUGAGAUACGGUCCAGACUCCUACGGGAGGCAGCAGUGGGGAAUAUUGGGCAAUGGAGGCAACUCUGAACCCCAGCAACGCCGUGUGAAUGAAGAAGGUCUUCGGAUUGUAAAGUUCUUUAAUUGGUGACGAAAGAAAUGACGGUAGCCAAAGAAUAAGCCACGACUAACUACGUGCCAGCCGCUGC
rnacentral:rRNA from 1 species